GAUGAACGCUGGCGGCGUGCCUAAUACAUGCAAGUCGAGCGAACGGACGAGAAGCUUGCUUCUCUGAUGUUAGCGGCGGACGGGUGAGUAACACGUGGAUAACCUACCUAUAAGACUGGGAUAACUUCGGGAAACCGUAGCUAAUACCGGAUAAUAUUUUGAACCGCAUGGUUCAAAAGUGAAAGACGGUCUUGCUGUCACUUAUAGAUGGAUCCGCGCUGCAUUAGCUAGUUGGUAAGGUAACGGCUUACCAAGGCAACGAUGCAUAGCCGACCUGAGAGGGUGAUCGGCCACCCUGGAACUGAGACACGGUCCAUGCUCCUACGGGAGGCAGCAGUAGGGAAUCUUCCGCAAUGGGCGAAAGCCUGACGGAGCAACGCCGCGUGAGUGAUGAAGGUCUUCGGAUCGUAAAACUCUGUUAUUAGUGAAGAACAUAUGUGUAAGUAACUGUGCACAUCUUGACGGUACCUAAUCAGAAAGCCACGGCUAACUACGUG
rnacentral:rRNA from 1 species